UACGAAGGGUGCAACCGUUGCUCGGAAUUAUUGGGCGUAAAGCGCACGUAGGCGGCUUAGCAAGUCGGAUGUGAAAUCCCUCGGCUCAACCAAGGAAGUGCAUCCGAAACUGCAGAGCUUGAGUACUUAAGAGGAUCGCGGAAUUCCCGGUGUAGAGGUGAAAUUCGUAGAUAUCGGGAGGAACACCAGUGGCGAAGGCGGCGAUCUGGGAAGAUACUGACGCUGAGGUGCGAAAGCGUGGGGAGCAAACAGG
rnacentral:rRNA from 1 species